AUCGCUUCUCGGCCUUUUGGCUAAGAUCAAGUGAAAAAUAUCUUACCUCUUAAUCAAUUUUGAAAGAUAGUUUUGUAAGAUACACCAGCCUAGGCUGGAAAUUGUUUUCUUUGAAAGUUUGAAAUAUCUCACUCCAGGAUCUUCUU
rnacentral:snRNA from 1 species